rnacentral:lncRNA from 1 species
AUAUGAAAUUAAGAAGAAAAGUAGCAAAUAUAAACUUCAGUAAUUGCGCAUUGAGUAAACAUAAUUCCAAUAUUGCAUGAACAAAUCCGUGAGAAAACGUAUAUAUACAUGUAUGAAUAAAGAUGUGUUUUAAAAAGACCUAUUGGCUUUAUUUCACACUAGGACCUAAGAUAACUAGAACUAAGCAAUGGUUGAUCCAGAAAUUUUCAUAAGUGGGGACUCAUUGACUGCCUUAGAGGGUCACGUCCAGUCAUGCUUCCGUGAUUCCCUAUAUAAUCUACCAUUUGUUUCCCAAGAUUUAGGAGGGGGGCUGGUACACAC